GCCUCACACUGGGGGGAUAGCAGCUGGAAACGGCUGGUAAUACCGCAUUAAGACCACAGCACCGCAUGGUGCAGGGGUAAAAGAUUUAUCGGUGUGAGAUGGAUCCGCGUCUGAUUAGCCAGGUUGGCGGGGUAACGCCCACCAAAGCGACGAUCAGUAGCCGGCCUGAGAGGGUGAACGGCCACAUUGGGACUGAGACACGGCCCAAACUCCUACGGGAGGCAGCAGUGGGGAAUAUUGCACAAUGGGCGCAAGCCUGAUGCAGCAACGCCCGCGUGAGUGAAGAAGUAUUUCGGUAUGUAAAGCUCUAAUCGGCAGGGAAGAAAGGCCCGAAAGGGAGAUGACGGUACCUGACUAAGAAGCCCCGGCUAACUACGUGCCAGCCGCUGC
rnacentral:rRNA from 1 species